rnacentral:rRNA from 5 species
UGCAGAAUCCCGUGAACCAUCGAGUCUUUGAACGCAAGUUGCGCCCGAUGCCAUUAGGUUGAGGGCACGUCUGCCUGGGUGUCA